rnacentral:rRNA from 1 species
UACGUAGGGGGCAAGCGUUGUCCGGAUUUAUUGGGCGUAAAGAGCGUGUAGGCGGCCAAACAGGUCAGCUGUGAAAACUCGAGGCUCAACCUCGAGACGUCGGUUGAAACCGUUUGGCUAGAGUCCGGAAGAGGAAAGUGGAAUUCCCGGUGUAGCGGUGAAAUGCGCAGAUAUCGGGAAGAACACCCGUGGCGAAGGCGGCUCUCUGGGACGGUACUGACGCUGAGACGCGAAAGCGUGGGGAGCGAACAGG